CUUCCACCUGGGCAGGGCUCAGCAUCCCCAUGACUUCAAUUACUUAUCCAUUUGGGGCUGCUCUUCUGCACUGGUAGUGAGCCCCUUCUUUGCUCAGGGUUUUGGCCCUCUACCUGCAGGCCCU
ensembl:misc_RNA